rnacentral:rRNA from 1 species
UGGGGAAUUUUGGACAAUGGGCGAAAGCCUGAUCCAGCAAUGCCGCGUGUGUGAAGAAGGCCUUCGGGUUGUAAAGCACUUUUGUCCGGAAAGAAAUCCUUGGCUCUAAUACAGUCGGGGGAUGACGGUACCGGAAGAAUAAGCACCGGCUAACUACGUGCCAGCAGCCGCGGUAAUACGUAGGGUGCAAGCGUUAAUCGGAAUUACUGGGCGUAAAGCGUGCGCAGGCGGUUUGCUAAGACCGAUGUGAAAUCCCCGGGCUCAACCUGGGAACUGCAUUGGUGACUGGCAGGCUAGAGUAUGGCAGAGGGGGGUAGAAUUCCACGUGUAGCAGUGAAAUGCGUAGAGAUGUGGAGGAAUACCGAUGGCGAAGGCAGCCCCCUGGGAUGAUACUGACGCUCAUGCACGAAAGCGUGGGGAGCAAACAGGAUUAGAUACCCUGGUAGUCCACGCCCUAAACGAUGUCAACUAGCUGUUGGGGUUUUAUUAACCUUAGUAGCGCAGCUAACGCGUGAAGUUGACCGCCUGGGGAGUACGGUCGCAAGAUUAAAAACUCAAAGGAAUUGACGGGGUCAUAGCUGUUUUCC